ACAGGGCUGGGGUGAGGGCUUUCCAGCGGGAAGCAUCAAGGGAGAACCAAGCUUCCCAGAGCAGUGCUGCCGAGCAUGGCUGGUGGUGAUGGUCACAUCAGGUCCCAGCCUCCAGUCUGUCACCUCCUUCGCUUACCCCUUUCUGCCUUUACCAUCCACCUCUAGCACGUGGCUUGGUUGCGUGCACCCAGGUCUUAGACUGCAGAAUCGGCAAACAAACCCUGCAAAGAGGGAGAGCCAACCCUUCAAAAUGUUCUUCAAAAGCAUGGCUGCGAUGUGGGGAACACCGCAGGUGACCCUCUCCAUCCAAGCAAUGAUGCUGACCUUCAUCAGUGCUCCCAGAGCAAGCAGAAACACUGUGGCAUCCCCCCCAUCUCCAGAUCUCCCAUGGUGAUGAUUUCAUGGUACACCUCAGCAAAGCAUCAAAUCUGCAGAAUUAUCCCCUGUUUAAUGAUAUCUUCCAGCCUGGUGACAGGAGUCCUUCUGCACUUCCUUGCAGUGGUAUAAAAGCCACAGGCAGGUCAUUGGGAUGUAGUUUUCUGAAAGCUAAUGGGUUAACUGCUGAAAGGCAGCAGAAUUUGUCUACCAGAGUCUUAGGCCAUCCUGCUUGUAGAUGCCUGGAUGGGAACCUGUGAGGUUCAUUCAGGGAACCUGAUGAGCCUAUGUGGAGACAGGCACUGUGCAGGUAUAAAUAUAUAUAGGGCAAAUAUGAAGUUACUUUGUAAUGGGGAUAGGUAAGUUGAAUGUGAAGAAAAUGAUGCUGCUAUCUGCCUACCCUUGGAUCAAACCAAAGGAGCCCCUGUUAUUCAGGGAAUUCCAGCUGACCGUCGUGAUGUUGUCCAGCCAGCAUCAGACGUGGACCCAGCUCUGCUGCCAUGGGUGAAAGGCUGCUUGGAGCUGCCCCUAGAAGCUAAUGCACCCUUUUUCUUGGAGGAAAUCCCCUCUCCUUCCCUUCCCUAAGUGUUACUGAUUCUCAGCUUACACAGGGAACUCUUUUUGAUAUUCCUGCAAUGCCCUUUUGCCUAACCUUGCACUGCUCUGUCCUGAAGUUAACAGCCAUGGACUGUGGAACCUCUCCAUAAAUUCGGCUUUUGGAUGAAUGAGUAAACUGGCAGCCAUUCUUUAUUUGCAGACAUUGAGACAUCACCUGGACUGGGACUGGACUGGGACUGGACUGAACCCAGCCAUGAUGGUAACUGCCCAUAUUAGGAUGACAGUGACCUACAACCCUGUGGUUUCAGGAUGCCAACUCACCUGUAACACAAAGCAGGAGCUGUGGGAAUCCACCUUGUCUAUCCAAAGAUGUAUGAAAGCUGCA
rnacentral:lncRNA from 14 species